UGCCUAGUCAUUCUGCUUUCCCCACUAGAGUUAUUGCAACAUUCACCACCAGCAAAAUGCAACUUCAAUUUACUGCAAAAUGAAAAGGCAUCAAACAAGAUUACAAUGGAAGCUGAAACUCUCACUAAAAACAAAAGGACAAAUAUUCCUUAAAAAUUUUUCAAACUACGACCCCAUCCACCAAAACCCCUCAUGAAAUGGGCUUCUGAUUUUUAAGUUUUCCCCACAAUACUUAUCCUUGCAUGAAGUCAUGAACAGGACUUGAAUUUCCCCACUCAUCUUUGUGUAACCAUUUGCAUUACUAUUGGCUCGAGUUCACCACCAGAUUAAGCAAGAUAUUUUCCACUUCCUUUGGAAGUUUUACAUCUCUCCCUCAAUCAAAUAUUUUUCUCAACGCGAUACACCAUAAAAACAUAGAAAAUAGGUGAAGGAGUAGAGGGGAAACCAUCAGCAUCCAACCAACUGCUCUUAGCAGCCAUCCCACCAGUUCAUGUACCUCUCACCCAAUCUGCUCUGCCACUGUUCAAUCAGCAGUCUGUUGCCAUUUCUCCACUACUCUCAAUAUCUAAAACAAAGAGACACAAAGUGCUGGAGUAACUCAGCAAGUCAGGUAGCAUCUCUGGAAAACUUGGAUUGGACCCUUGAAGGGUCCCAAUCCAAAACUUCACCAAUCCAUGUUCUCUAGAGAAGCUACCCGACUUGCUGAGUUACUCCAGCACUCUGUGUCUUGUUUUGUAAGCCAGUAUCUGCAGUUCCUUGUUUCUAUACUCAAUAUCCAAUGCUGUUGACUUAAGAAACAAAUACCGCAGCCUAUAAAAUUCCAACAUCCUCCAGUACAGUUGCCCAGAGAUAGGUUUCUGUACGAAAUCAAGAUGAGACCCAUCCAGCCCAAAUGUUUAGUUAAUACCGCACAUAUUGUCACCACAUGGAAUACGCAGACCAGAUCUAGGUGAUAUUUAUGCUGAACUCAUCUCAGCAUAGGAAAUGGCCCUUCAGCCCCCAAUGUCUGUGGCAAAACAAAAUGGCAAGUUAAACUAAUCUCCCCCGUCUACACAUGUUCCAUAUCCCUCCAUUCCCAGCAUGUGCCGAUGUAAAACCCUCUUGGAUGCUACUAUUGUAUCAGCCACCAUCCCUAGCUGUGCGUUCCAAGAAUCCAUCAUCCUCUGUAAAAGAAUCUUGCCAUGCACAUCUCAUUUAAACUGUAGUUUAGUUUAUUGUCACGUAUACAGAGGUACAGUGAAACGCUUUUGAUGCGUGCUAACUAUUUAUCCCUCUAAACCGCAAUAGGGCAGAACGGUGGUGCAGCUGGUAGAGCUGCUGCCUCACAUCACCCAGACUUCAGAUGCUGUCCAUGUGGAGGUCGCAUGUUCUCCCUGUGACUGUGGGUUUCCUCCGGGUGCUCUGGUUUCCUCCUACUUCCCAAAGAUGUGUGGAUUUGAAAAUUAAUUGGUGCACUGUAAAUUCCCCCCACCCCCCCACCGUGUGUAAGGAGUGGAUGUAAAAAUGGGAUAACAUGGAACUUGUGUGAACGGAUGAUUGAUAGUCAGCGUGGAUUCCGCCCGUUUCAAUGCUGACUCUAAAUUAAACUAAAAGCCACUCAGCCUUCACUCAUAAAAGGCGACCAUUACUCUCCUUAUAAUGGCAGUACACAAGACAAAUAAACCAACAUCAGUGGAGAAAAUUUGCAAUCCAAAAAUUCUGUUUCUACAACCAUGUUGUUAGUCCUUCAUUAAGAAGUUCUACAUUCAAUCCACUUCCCUGAAAUCAGAUAACAGCGCCUUACCUCGGAGGGAAAUAUUGCUUCAUUAUUAUUUAGACUGAAACAUUUAUGCUGUGAAUGAGAAUUUAGGAAUUGUAACCACAACGAAAAUGGCCUUAAGGCAGAUGCUAUCUCAAAUGCUAGCACACCGGAUCACGUUACGCGGUCGAAGAAAUGCCGUCUUUAUAAAGAGCUACAAACAGGUUUCCCAUUUUGAAGGGAGGAUAUUGUGAAAGUUCUAUUAGUUUGCCAGUACAGGCUGUGACCCUCCCUGUAACGAACAGAGUAACCAAAGAUUGUAAAAUUAUAUCAACUCACAGGAGGAAAAACGGAGCCCAAAGCUUGUCGUUCAACCAGACCUGAAAUAGUCUUCCACAAUUUUGCAAAUUACACCUUCCAUUAACCUUGCUUGGAUCUGGGCCCAGUGGAAUCGGCCGCGGGCCCAGUGGACGACAACGUCGGGAGAUCGCAGGUCCCAGGUUGGUGACCUGUUUUCUGGAGCUCCCGCAAAGACAGCUUCGUCUGCUGGACUGGAGGGCGGCAGCUUCGUACGCGGAGUUUGAAUCGGCCCGUUCGCGGAGCUCGGAUUCAGCCGCGGGACUUACCAUCACGCGGUGGGUUCGCAACAUCGGAAGCCUGGAUCGCCUCAACGCAGAGGGAGAACAAGGAGGGAAGAGACAAGGGCUUUAAAACUUUUGCCUUCCAUCACAGUGAGGAGGUGCCUGGUGAACUCACUGUGAUGGAUGUUAAAUCUGUGUUUAUUGUGUGUUUUGUUAUUUUAUUCUAUGUUAUGACUUCAAGACACAAAAUUUCAUUCAGACUGAAAAGUCUUAAUGACAAUAAAGGAAUACAAUACAAUACAAUACAAUACAAUACUCCAACAGGGAAGUGCUUUGAGGCACAUUGUAACUUUCACAGAGUAAAAUUGUUACCAUUAAAUCUCUUGGCAUUAA